GGGGGAUGUGCUCUGCUGAUAUUAUUGCUUUGGUGAAGGAUUGUGUUUUAACUGCUUCUCUUCCUGAGAGUAUCAAUGAGACGUUGAUUGCUUUGGUGCCUAAAGUUGAGAGACCUGUUUCCAUGUCUCAGCUUUGCCCCAUCAGUCUUUGCAACACCAUCUAUAAAGUGAUUUCCAAGAUUCUUGUUGCUCGGCUUCGACCUUGUAUGGCCAAUUUGGUUAGUCCUAAUCAAGUGAGCUUUGUCCCAGGGAGACAAAUUGUUGAUAAUAUUGUUGUGGCCCAAGAAAUGCUGCAUAAGUUUAAAAAUUCUAAAGGGAGCAAGGGUUUCAUUGCUUGGAAAAUUGACUUAUCCAAAGCUUAUGAUCGGUUAAAUUGGGAUUUCAUUAGAGAAGUGCUUUGGGAGGUUGGGAUUCGUGGGAGAAUUCUUGAGCUUUUAAUGCAGUGUAUUAACUCUGUGUGUUAUAAGGUGAUUCUCAAUGGUGAAUUAACUGAUUCUUUCUCUCCUAAAUGUGGCAUUCGGCAAGGGGACCCUCUUUCCCCAUAUCUCUUUGUUUUGUGCAUGGAAAAGCUUUCUCAUAUUAUCCAGUAGGCUGUUCAAGACAAGACUUGGAAACUAGUGCAGAUCUGGGAAAGUGGUCCUUUUAUCUCUCAUCUCUUUUUUGCGGAUGAUUUGAUUCUCUUCGGAAAAGCUUCUGUCAAUCAAGCUAUUGUUAUGAAGAAAUGUUUAGAUGAUUUUUGUAGUCUCUCCGG
rnacentral:lncRNA from 1 species